AACCGACUGGACCGCCCAGGUGCCCCUCGUGGAUACUUAUUUUAUACUUUGGAUUAUAAUGCAACACCAUUUUAUUAUUCCGAUUGGCUCAGCUUUGAUCAUUGGGAGCUUUGUAAAUGGCCCCUGUGUCCCUUGUCCCUCUGAUAUAACCUCAUCAUUGAGUUUUAUUUUUUGUUUUGAGUACUUUUUUAGUGUCUGGGACUAUAGGAUGCAUUAGAUUCACCCUUAUAUUUUCUACUCCACUCUUAGGAUCAUUUCUGCAAAGAGCCCUGGUUCCUUUUGUGGGAAAAUGGUGUUAGAAUCCACGAUCUGGGUGCCAGGUGUAGUAGCUUUUUGCAAACCAAAUACUUAGUGGAAAAGAAAGUUUUUGCCAUUGUUUCAGGUAGUGAUGAAUUGGGUUAUUGAAUUAAUUUUUGUGUUAAUACUGCUGGAUCGAAAUUUUACCUGAGUGAGUUGAGUAGAAUCAUCACAAGAAUUUCUAAGUAAAAUUCUAAGAAGUAAUUGUUUUAUUACUCUUUUCUAUUACUUUAAAGAAAGCCGCCUGCCCAUGAUGGCACUUUAUCCUUGACCAGAACCUGAGGCAGAACUUCAAAACAUGCAUCUGCGUACCAUUUCAGUAAGAGAGCGGAAUUGUUACCGCCCAUCAAGCAACCAGGUCAGAAGAAUCACAAGAUCUGAUAGGCGAAUGCGUGAAAUGUGUGUUGAUUGUAAAAACAAAACAAAACAAAACUCAUUUUCUGAGAAUUAACCAUAUGUUUUUUUCCCAGGGCCUACUUGUCCUCACCUAUUGUAUUUUAAUUUUCUUGCAGCUUAACUGUAAAGAAUAGUCUUCUAAAUCAGUGUAAAUAGAAAAACUUCGAUUUAAAUGGAUUGCAUGCAAUUGCAAUUAGUAAGCAGCAGAAGCACUAAUGAGGAAGAGAGCCAGGCAGGUGAAAAACCGAAGCCAAGGUAAAUGAAGCAGUCUCUGAUGAAUAAGCAAACGUUAACUCAGGGCACCGGAAAACAGAGUGAGUUGGAGAUGCCCAGGGAGCCCUCAAAUGAAAAUAGCUGGAAAGCCUCCAGAGGGACGUUGCUGAGUAUAGAGAUGGGCAGAUCAUAAGAGCGAGGUUCUGGGGAAGGGUUGCUCUUGCGUCUGAAGCCUGGCACAGAUUGCCAGGGAGCACAUGAGACGCCCAGUGUCUUCUUCAGAGUUCAGCGGAAGCCAUCAAGCCCAUGCUCGAAGAACCUGGAAACACUAAUCUAGGACACAAUGGAGGGAAACUUGAGUGUAUGAAGGGUGUACCAUGUGCUGGGUGAACUAUGUCAUUUAAUUUUUAUACCCGCCCUUUCCCGUCUCCUGGCAUUUAAUUCUUACACCAACCCUUUGAAGGAGAGUAUUACUACAGUGUUACAGGUAGAGGAAAUGGGGCACAGAGUGGCUUGAGGAUAGCUUGCAAAUCACACCGCCACUAAUCGGAGGUGGAAAGUGGAAGUUUUCAUUUCAAGCAGUUUGGGGGAAUCAAGAUAGACUGAAACCAAUUCGGGGUUGCGUAGGUGCAGACUCUUAGCCCCUGGGGCGAUUAACGAUACUUUUUGGGGGGGGGGUUCUGGGUUGAACUGGUUAAGAGAAAGGAGUUUAAAAUGGUGGCUGUGACGUUCAGAUGGUUUAGAGCUGCUGAAAAAUGAGGGUUCUGGUAGGCUGCUCUAUCUGGAGAGCCUUAGAAUGGGCUGAAAACUCCUGGACAUAGCUGGUUGAGCAAGUGGGCUUGGGGAUUGGCUGAAGGGUGGGUUCUUUUAAUUAUCAUUUCACAUUCCCUUUGACCUUCUCAGGAUUCCUGUAGACGGGAGAGAGUGCUUUUUGGCUCUUCCGGGGAGAAUAAAUUUUAGUGGGGGCUAUUCUUCGAUUCUGGCCAACUGGUCGCUCCAAUGUACGUUAGGCCAUUUGUGAAUGAGACAGGAGAAUCGCUGUGAACUGCGAGGAUGUAAUAUGUUAAACACGGUGUGUUUAUGUUUACCAAAUAAAUCUCAAGAGCGCAUUAA